AGGAUUGUCUGUCAGGGAAGGUACCAUGAUCAUGAAGAUGUUUAUCCAUUGCAUUUUGGAUGUGCUGACCCCUGCAAAUUCCCCAAAUUGGGGAAACUUGACUGUAAUUUGUGAAUGAGGAAAUCGGGUAUACACACCCCCACCUC
ensembl:snRNA Gm24056 predicted gene, 24056